rnacentral:ncRNA from 2 species
UUAGCAAGACAAGCGCCAGAACUGGCACGCGCGUUACAGACAUUAUUCGCUGAUGUGAAUCGGUCUCAAGCCAUCGACAGAGGGCUUCGCAUUACCACUCACAGACAACGCAUCAGUCGCUUAAUGCAUGGACACGCUCGUCCAGUUGACGAGGUGAAGGUGUUCGAAACAUUCGGCGGGGACCUUCCGGUCAUCAUCUAGACCGUAAGUCGAGCGUCAAAACGUCCGGGCGACCGGACGGACAAAGGCUCGGCAGGAUGGAAU